rnacentral:tRNA from 1 species
GGUUGUGGCUCAGUGGUAGAGUGCUCGCCUAGCACAUAGGAGGCACUGGGUUCAAACCUCAGCACCA